rnacentral:rRNA from 1 species
UACGUAGGGUGCGAGCGUUGUCCGGAAUUAUUGGGCGUAAAGAGCUUGUAGGCGGUCUGUCGCGUCUGCUGUGAAAAUCCGGGGCUCAACCCCGGACUUGCAGUGGGUACGGGCAGACUAGAGUGUGGUGGGGGAGACUGGAAUUCCUGGUGUAGCGGUGAAAUGCGCAGAUAUCAGGAGGAACACCGAUGGCGAAGGCAGGUCUCUGGGCCACUACUGACGCUGAGAAGCGAAAGCAUGGGGAGCGAACAGG